CUUUAUUUACUUGUGUAGGGCACACUGCUGUAAGCAGCCAGCUCAGAGUCAGUUCCUGAACUGAGGAGAUUCUGAAUUUCCUGGUUAAAUUUCCUGCUUUUCCUGAUUGGUCCAGGUUAACAACCCCAAUCAGGGAUCUCAUUAUCACCAAGAUCCACCUGGUUCCAAUCACUAGAUUCAUGAAGCAUCAUCAGAGAAAAUGCUCAAAAAUUGCCCUGUCCAAUUCUCUGACAAACGUGCAGGGAGAACCACAUUCAGAGUUACCAAAAGAAAGAAUGUGAAGGCUCAAAGGAAAAAGAAAACCUCUCAGUCCAACCAAGCAAUUCAUGAACCAAGGCCUGACCAUUGCUGCUCAGGCACAGCUGAGGAAAGGAAUACGACUUUGGGAAGAACCUGGUGGCGCUCAGAUCCUAUUGGCGUGAGCUGAAGCUCUGAAUUGCUUUUUUGAUCUGCACCCAUUAAUUCACAGUCUUUCCCAAAACAUGAAAGCAAUCCAGCGUUAAGUUUAUGAAGUCUAGUUCAGCUGCUCAGCAACAGCGACCUAUUUUUAAACACAAAUAGGAUUCCCGACCUAAAAAAGUGAUUGAAAUUCUGCUUACCUACAUUUACAGUGAACUGACGUUAGAAAUUGGAAUAUUUUCAAAACUUCCUGCUGUAAACAUUGCUGGCAUAAAACAUUAAUAAAUGUAAGGGCAACCAUUCAGACAAAGAACAAGCUUGAACCACUCACAUAUCAUGGUUCACACAGAUAUCUUUGUUUCUAUAAGAAAUAGGAGUAUGAGAAGGCCAUUCAGCCCGUCAGACCUGCUCUGCCAUUCAACAAUGAUGUGGAGGUGCUCGUGUUGGACUGGGUUAGAUAAGAUCAGAAG